CGGUGGGCGCGCGCGGCUGGGCCACUGGGUCCGGGUCCGGAGGCUGCAGGCUCCUUCCGGACCAGCUCCCGAGGCUGUCUGACAACCUGUCGACAUGGGUUUACAGCUGUCUGACACCCAGUUUUGCAGCUGAGGUGUGUCCCUUUUUUUAACAAAAACAACUCAGCAACUGCUUUUCUACCGUUAGGGAGGCGGGGCAGAGGCCCGCAGUGCUCAGCCCGGUCGAGGGUGACAGCCAACCUCCAGCGGCCUCUCUCAGAGACUGGAGCUGCCUUUCCUCCCCGGGACAUCUUUGGUAGAAGUGCACCCGGGAGUCCUCCGUGCGCCAGUAAACCCGCGUGACGAGACACCUCCAUGCAAGACGCGGCGUCCCAGUGGCCGUACUAGACUCGCUGGAAGAGACAAGCCGACCCAGCCGGCCGCAGCAAGCUUGGGAGUGGCUGUGGGUCUCCUGGCCUGGCUGCACCGCUAGAAGCUGAAUGCAGGGUCCUCCUCGCCUCCGCGUGCCAUGGAAGGCCCCUCGGGCAGGUCACUUUCGAGCUAUUCUCGAUGGCUUUGGUCCAAGUGCCGCGGGACCAAGAGUGUCCAGGUACCAAAUCCUGUUCCUGGGGCCACUUUGCGCUCCACUCUCUGCAAGGCGGCAAGAUUCGGAGUGCACUCCCGCCCCCACCCCCAGGUUGCUGCAUGCUGGAUCCCGCACGGAGUUUCACUUGUUACUGGGGACUGGGCCUAGGCUUAGGCAGCUGGGGGCUGCCGGAUGAAUCUAGCCCCAAGACCCCGCCCAUCCUCUAUGUAUUGUUGGUUAGCAGAGCCCCAGGACCCCGUACUCAGGUCCGACCCCCAGCUCCUCCUCCCCCUGGAGACUUAUGAGAUGUGCAGUGCCUCCAGGCCCCUGGGAAUUCUACAGCCUCAGGAAGGCUCCAUUUCCCGGACCUGAGAACACUAAGCUACCGCCUAUAAUUAGACACAAUAAGGCCCAUAAUAGUAAUUACUAAUUACCCGCUCCAAAAUCAGGCAUAAUUUUUCUGCUCUGAGUUAGGUCUUCCUGUUCAGCUCCCCCCACCCCACCCUCCCACACACAACCUGUCCCUACACACUUCAGACACCUCCAGGCCUACCUCUAGCACCGGAUUCUGGGUGGCCAGCAGUUGGCACUGGGUUCUGCAGCUCUGGGAAGUCCUUAACUGCAGGUUCCUCCUAAUCACCAGUCCAUCCCCUCACUUCCAACUCAGAGCUAGAUCUCUUAUUCCCAUUCCCCAUUCCCAUACCCAAAGCAAAUCCGAAGGAUACAGAUGAAUCAUUCUGUGAGAAAUGGGCCAGCUAUACCACUGUUCUGGUUUAGCAAAGCCUCAGUGUCACAUUUCAAGGCCACAGUUAAAUACAGGUGAGAUAAGCCCUCCUGGAGAAUGAGGUGGAAUGUAAGUCCAGAAACACUUCCCAGUGCUAGGAUUUGACUGCAUGGAUUGAUUACCUUCUUCCUACCUGCUCAUCACAGCUUCCCACCCUGGUUGCUGGUCUCAGGUUGCCACACUUCUAACCAUUAUAACCUUCAAGGGAGGGAACUGGAAAGGAGCAGUAGGGGCUUUGUCCUGACCCUCAACCAGUCUGACAGAGCCACCAUUCUAUGCUAUGGGUAUAUCAUCUACAUUGGGCAUCCAAAGCAGGUAAACUCUUGAAGACAUCAGCAAGGUAAGUGGGAGACCUUGGCUGGGCCCUGCUUGAAAUGUUCCCUGGGAACACCAUCUAGCACUACUUGGCAAGGUCUGCAGAUUUGCACCCAGGGAUUUCCUGAGAAAGGUGCUGAAGUGUUGAUUGUGGACCAUUUUCUGCCCAAGAAUCAGAGAUGGGCUGCACCCCAGACCUCUGAGCUUCAAUCCAUUUCCAGGAGGUGCCAGCAGAACCUUGUGGGCUCUCUUAUUUCUCUUUGCAACUAGCCACAGAGAGAGAAAUAGGGAAAUAAAGGGAAAGAAAAUUGCCUUCAAAUUCUCUAAUUGGAGAGGGGGCUGGGAGAUGAGCAGAAAAACCUCCUGGCUCAGCAGGCUCAGGACACCCCCCCCCAAACACACACACACACACACACACACACACACACACACACCAUAGCAUGGAAUAGUGUACCAAGCCCCAGAGCUUGGUGGCCUCUGGUGUCCAAACUAGGAGAACACAGUGUCUGGUAGCCAUUGGCCUAACUUGAAUACCUUUAAAAGGGGUUCAGAUCUUCCCCCAAGGAAGUCAGCCAGUUCAGUCUCUCUGGGAGAGAGAACAGGGAAGGAGGAGCAGAGAAGAGGGAAGCCAGGAUCUGCUGGUGCUUCCAGCCCGUGCAGCAGGUGGGAGGAUUUGGGGGCUAUUGUGUGGGGCAAGUGUUGAAAACCAGUAUCAGCAGUGCUGUGCUGGAUUGGAAAUAGGGAGAUCAGUUUCGUGACCCUCAGAUGCUGUCCCUAGCUCCUGAAGGGUGACUCAGGCAGGGACCCUCAUAGGAGGCUGCUCCUGGCUAGAGAAGACCUGUUCUGUAGCUGCUGCAUCUCUAACCUGCCACAAGCAGAGCCAAAACCUUCAGUCAGACAGACCUAGGGGUCGCUGCGGUGGGAUCCCAGCUCUGCCGGUUGACCUCCAGGGCCAGGUCUGGGAGUCUGUGUGCCUUGCGACACAGUGUGAAGCUCUGCAAAGUCCUGACUCCCAAACAGGGAAGUCAGGACCCUGGGUGCACCCCUGCCCAGGGCUAGCAUGGGACUUUGGGUGUUUAUGCAGAGCAUUCUCUUAGGACUUGGCACCAGAGGGCCUAGAACAGGCCUCCCCGUGGAGUGGGGGAGGUAAAGUGGUUGGGGGCAGUUGGCUAACAAUGCACCUUUGAGCCAAGUUGAUUUUUAAUGUUUUUAAAACUUAAUGAGAGGUUUACUUGUUUGUUUUGUGCCGUUUUCCAAGUGAGAGGAAACUGCUAUCCCUGCUUGGAAGAUCAGGUCUCCUUUUCCUCUUCCCAACCCUUCAGCACUGUUGCAUGGAGCUUUUUACUUAGGACGAGAUUAGACAAACCCAAGGGCGUCCUCAUUACAACUUCAUUGCUUAAGGAAUAAUUUUCCAUUGCUUUUGAGGCUCUGCCUUCCCAGAGUCUCUGGCACAGAAGGGGAGGUCCAUGAGAGGAUGGAUUCCCUCUGGAGCAGUCUUUGGAAAUGGCCUCUGGCGCCAGUACCUGGCAGCGCAGACCAGUCAGGGAGAUGCGCAGAGGAGCCUCUGCCCUGGCCUCCGGCCUUUCAAAAUGGCCAUUCUUUGCUCUAGGGAUGGCGGGGCUCCUGAGCGGUGCAGUGGCUAAGUGUUGGGGUUGGGUGGCCUGACCCGGGAUGUAUCACAUGGACCUCAAUCAGGCCCUCAAAGAGUGCGCCCUGAUUUAAGAGUCAAAGUAAACACUGUUUAGGACUCUGCAGACUCUUGGAUGCCUUUCACUGGGUGACAGCGAGGGGAGCAUUAGACAGUUCAGGGAAAGAGGCUGAGACCCUCUGCUGGAACCCCCUCACAGGUGGACCCCAGUUCCCCAUAUGGUGUGGUGUCUGCAGCAGCAACCCACGGUCCCCCAGGCCCCACCCCUGGGUGCCGGGCCUGCGUGCUCCUGCUGCGCCAAGCUGGGACCUCUCAGGUCCGGGGACUCCCCUGGUGACCCCAGACCAAAGUCCCAGGCUGAGUGCGUCCUGAGAGUGCGGGGCUGCCGGACCGGCGGCCGCCGAUCCUGCACCGCUGAAGGAGCCCAAUCAGGCUGGCGAUUAGAGUGGCGGCGGGUGACUCCAGGGAGAUCCUGGAAGGAAGCGCCAGGGAGCUUCGGAGGGCAGAGAUCGAGGGCCGCUGUACACCGCCCGCAUCCUGGUCGGAGCGGCGCAGAGCGACCUGGCUGGAGUGGGGCGACCGGGAAAGCUGCGGGCCAGCGCUGCCAGACGGAAGCCUCCGGAGCCGGGCCGAGUUUCCCACGGAGAAAGGGCAGAGGAAUGGCCCACAGAGGCCGGCCUUGAGUGCCAUGAUGUCGCGGUCCCCGAGCAUCGGAGAAAGUGAAUUACAUGCGUGUGCACACACGUAAAUAUUUUAUAAAUCUCCUGGUAAUUAACCAGAUCAUCUCCAUUAUGCCUCCAAUAUGAUCAACAGCGACGGUGUGAGGGCUUUCAGGGUUUAUAAUUUGAUGUCACCAGACGGCUGCUCGGGGGCAGAGGCACAAUCGCCGCGCCAGCUGCACUUGUAUUUAUUUGUUUUUCUGCUGUGUUCCUGUAGGGCUCCAUUAUGCAGUUUUUAAUUAGUUUGUGUUUGUAUUUCACCCGUCCCAAAUCAAUGCCAUCCCGGAGCAAGGCCAUGUAAAUUCCUGCAGUACAGGUGUCGCUGCCUGUUCCGUACACUGGCAAACGCGUGUCUGACAAAUGAAAGCGAGCUGCCACGCCGACUGGCAGCUCCCGGCAGCCAGAGCCGCAGAUCAAAGCCAGCGGGGACUUCUGCGCCCAGGAGCGCCAUAGCGGAUGCUGCUUCUAAUGCCAUUGGAGGAAGUCGGGCAGAGCGAGUUGGGGACCAGGUGACUUUUCGUUCUCCUUAAACCCUGGCUGUCCCAGGGUCAGCGCUGGUCCUGGGCCCCCAUUCCUGUUAGGGCAUGCAGCCCCGGGAGCUUGGUGUGGUGAUAUUCACUGGCGGGUGACCUAGAGCUACCGAAGAUCCCUGUGACUUCCUGCCUGCUUCCAGUCACAUUAACCAGAGCAAAGAUGAGCGUACUCCGACUUUUCUAGGCUUGCGACGCAGCCCCACCCUUGUUGUGCAGUCUCUUCCUUCUUGAAACGACCUCUGUGGAGUGCGUGUAAAUCUUUUCUUCCAGCCACUGGGGAAUUCUCUUAAAGCUUUCUUUUUUGUUGGGAAUAAGAGAUUGCUCAUCUUUAACUAGGCCACAUAGAAAUUAUGAUUCAACAGCAGUGUAUAUUUAAUUAGAGUAAUCUCACUUGAAUUUAAUUACCUAAUGAAUUAUUUGUUUAAAAGGUAGAAGGUCUUGUUUGCCAAGUACCAGGCAGACCUCUGAUAAGAACUUCUGUUAUAAGGAUGUUCCAGUUUAAAAGCAGGCAUGUCUAAAAUUGAUAUCUUAACUCUCUGGAUAGGCAAUAUCACUGCACUGCUCAGACCAAAACCAUGGUCAGGGGAAGAUGUCAGGAGUGGGCUGGGGGUGGUGACACCAUUCCAGCCACACAGAGGUUCUCUUCUUUCCCUUUGCAAAGUAGUGUCCUCUGACUUUUUUUUUUUUUUUGUCUUGUAAGUUCAGUUUAUUUUAAAAACUUAACUAAUGUUGCUUUCAGUGUUUUUUUUUCUUUUUUUCCUUCUAGAGCAAGAUAAGACUGCUGUCUGUUAGAGGACUUAUGAUUAGUAUUUAUGCCUGGGGUAUCCACACUGGUUUCUGGAAGUCCGUCUGAUGCAUAUCAAAUUUUACUGACCCAAAAGUUGACCUUAACCUUUAACUCCUAAAGUUUGGAACAACUCCACAUUCUCUUGUUUCCAAAAGCAAGUGAAAACUGUGCCUGAACAUGCCAUCCUUCCCAGGAGGCUCCCGAGUUGUCCCUAGGUAAUGCCAGCAGCUGUUGCACCUAAUCAUAGGGACCUGGCUGAGGGAGAGUGAUCCUGACUGGAGCUCCCAUCCUGUUUCCCACUGUCCUGGCCAGCUGCUGCAGAAGCAGACGACUUCAUUUCUUUCUCCAUCCCUGUGUGAGGGAGACUCAGCCGGGAAAUGCAUAUAGGGGGCCCAGGUCUCACUGAAAAGAGGAAAUAAGAACAUCUCAAAUCAACAUGACUGAAUUUCACUGUAAUUUCCGUUGCCAUUUUAUUCAUUGGUUUGCAGGCAUGGGCACUUAUCAUGUAAAUGUUAAAUAUUACAAAUAUUAUGUCCAACAAAGUAGGAAUGAGCCUAUAGAAAAAUACCACAGUUGAAAAGAAUUAUUAAUUUUUGGUUCCUUUUUACAAUCUGUGAUUUAUAGCAUAGCUGUGCAUUUUGAAAUUGAUGCUCCAACAAUCAAGACUGGUUAAAUUAUAAACUCAAUCACAUUCAAUUAUGGUCACAGAAGUAUAUUUCUUCCAAAGAAACAGAUUUACAUGAAUACAUUUUUAAAGCUUA